rnacentral:tRNA from 1 species
GCGGGCGUAGCUCAGUUGGUUAGAGUGCCGGCCUGUCACGCCGGAGGUCGCGGGUUCGAGUCC